rnacentral:rRNA from 1 species
CCUACGGGGGGCAGCAGUGAGGAAUAUUGGUCAAUGGACGAGAGUCUGAACCAGCCAAGUAGCGUGAAGGAUGAAUGCCCUAUGGGUUGUAAACUUCUUUUAUAAAGGAAUAAAGCGAGGCACGUGUGCAUUUUUGCAUGUACUUUAUGAAUAAGGAUCGGCUAACUCCGUGCCAGCAGCCGCGGUAAUACGGAGGAUCCGAGCGUUAUCCGGAUUUAUUGGGUUUAAAGGGAGCGUAGAUGGGUUGUUAAGUCAGUUGUGAAAGUUUGCGGCUCAACCAUAAAAUUGCAAUUGAUACUGGCAGACUUGAGUGCAGUUGAGGUAGGCGGAAUUCGUGGUGUAGCGGUGAAAUGCAUAGAUAUCACGAAGAACCCCGAUUGCGAAGGCAGCUUACUAAACUGUAACUGACAUUGAUGCUCGAAAGUGUGGGUAUCAAACAGGAUUAGAUACCCUGGUAGUC